CUGCCGGUGAUGUGCAAGAAUUUCUUCACCUGAACCAGCCGUGUGGUCACAGCUUAUCUGAGGCAGC
rnacentral:snoRNA from 1 species